rnacentral:rRNA from 1 species
UAGGGAAUCUUCGGCAAUGGACGAAAGUCUGACCGAGCAACGCCGCGUGAGUGAAGAAGGUUUUCGGAUCGUAAAACUCUGUUGUUAGAGAAGAACAAGGACGUUAGUAACUGAACGUCCCCUGACGGUAUCUAACCAGAAAGCCACGGCUAACUACGUGCCAGCAGCCCCGGUAAUACGUAGGUGGCAAGCGUUGUCCGGAUUUAUUGGGCGUAAAGCGAGCGCAGGCGGUUUCUUAAGUCUGAUGUGAAAGCCCCCGGCUCAACCGGGGAGGGUCAUUGGAAACUGGGAGACUUGAGUGCAGAAGAGGAGAGUGGAAUUCCAUGUGUAGCGGUGAAAUGCGUAGAUAUAUGGAGGAACACCAGUGGCGAAGGCGGCUCUCUGGUCUGUAACUGACGCUGAGGCUCGAAAGCGUGGGGAGCAAACAGG